GUGGGACCCCUCAGCCUCACCCUCUCUAGGGCGCAGCAAGUCCGCCGCGAGCCCCUCUGCUCAUCGCUCGUUACCCCCCAGGCCCUUGGGCUUGGGCUCAGGCCCAGUCGUUCCUCUGCAACAAAUCCAAUGGAACCGCGCCCUCCCUGAAUCCCACGUCUAGGAAGAGGAGGAGGAGCCCCUCUUGCUUGGGGGAAGGGGCUCCCGACUCGGAGCCCCGAGCCCCAUUCCUCUCCCGCGCCAGCUCUUCGGGACGCGGCCUCCCAGCGGACGCCCUGAGACCUUGCAAGUCCGCUAGGGAGGGGUCGGGACGAGCCGUCGCGGGUGGAUCCGCCCGGCCGAGCAACGACCCGCCCGGGCGCGAGGACCACGGGCUGUCGUGCGGGAGGCGUCGAGGGGCAGUAAACUCCGUUCGUGACCAAACGGAGACGAUUUGAAACUUGCUGCUCACACUGGAUCACCGUCUGGAAGGUGCGACGGGGAAAAAAUACACAUUACACUCCAGCAGGAUUGAACGCUUUCACCCUGUGCCCCGCGCCUGGCGUAACGCGUGGCCCCAGACCACACGCUGUAACCCGGGGUGAGAGGGAGUGAGGUGGGACUUCGUACCGGACCCGGAGCGCCGGCCUCGCCCGCGCGGGCAGCGUUCACUGUGGGGAGUGCUCACUCAGCCUAGGGCGGCCCGGGAGGACUGCCGGGAGGAGGGAGUCGGCCUUGAAUUGAGGCCUCAGCCUUGAAUAGGGUAGGGAGGCAAGCCUAGCCGAGAGUUUAGCACUAGCAAAAGCCUGGAGGCACCAGGGUCUGCCCUAAGAACUGCAGCGCCUCUGCUCUGGCUGGGAUUUAACGCAUUACGUCUCUGCUGUUUAUAGGUGUUGUGUUUGGUCUUACGACUUCGUAUUCUAUAGUUUUUAUUUAUUCCUGUUUUCUGAAUUUUCCCACAUUUGCUUUUAUCUUCUAUCGUGAUUUUCAAGGCAGAAAGUAUUUUUAAUUCUUCUCGCGGCUGCCUUUAGAUUUAUCAAAUGAAAAUAGUUUACAUUUCACACAUUAGUAAAGUCAGUGACAAAUAAUUCGUUUUUAUAUUCCCCCAUGAGAAAUUUUGUGUGCUUUUCUGCCUCCUACCUGCCGCCCUCACUACUUAUAUUUGUCCACUUAAUCAGGACGACAGACCUAACUUUUGUUUACACUUUUUUUUUAAGCCACAACAUUCUUUUUCAAUCCUUGUUUUUGGCUUUUGCCAACUCUGUUUAAUUGGUUUCAAUGUUACUGCCGGUUUUUUGUGCUCUAAUUUUUCUAUUCCUCAUUUGGACCCAUCUCUCACAUGACUGGUGAUUUCAGGGAGGACUCUGGAAUGUUGUAUUUCCUAAGCCUUUGCCUUAGGUGAGAAUGCCUUUAUAAUGAUUUCCUGUUUAUAGGAUUCUUGAGUCUCAAGCUUUCCCCCUCAAAACUCUUGUCUUUAUUUCAUUGUCUUCUGGCACUGAAAAUGCAAAGCUGGGUUUGUCUGUUUAAGGUCAGCAGUUUGCUUGGUGCUUGCAAGGGUUUUUCUUUACCCUCAAAAGUCAAACAUUUUGCCAGUAUAAAUCAAUAUGGGCCUUAUCUAUUAAUUUUCCAGAAACAAAAGAGGUCUUCUUUGUAGCUUAGAAAAGUUUUCUUCCUGUCCAUUCUGUGAAAAGAUUUGGGUUUUUUUCUUUCCUCUCCUCUAAAACUAUCACAUUGGAUCACCAAUGUCAAAUAAAUCUGUUUGUUUUCUCUGCACCCUGGGAGACUAUAUCAAGUUUUUCUUCACCAUUACGGAUUUAAUUUUCUUCAGAGCCAAGAGUACUGUUUAUUUUCUCCAAUAAGACAUUUGAUUCUGCUUGUUUUAUUUUUCUUUCAGCCAAUUUCCAUUCCACCUCUGUCUUGAUCUCAACUUAAUCUCUCUUUGUAGUCUCCAUUCCUAUUUCAUAGACUAAUGUGGUUUUGCAUCUUUAAAAGAACACCAGGAAAAUAAGAGAAUACUAUCUAUAUCUGACUCUGGUCCAAUGCAUAUGAAAACUUUUUUGUUUUUUUGAGACAGAGUCUCACUUAAAAUUUACACAAACUCUAGCAUAGUGUGUAACUAUUGAAUGAAUAACUAAUGCAAUCCCCUUCCUUUCUUUCAGAGCAACUAUGAACUAGACUUUUUUUUUUUUUUUUUUUUUUUUUUUUUCUGAAAUGGAGUCUCCCUCUGGAAUGCAAUGGUGCAAUCUCAGCCCACUGCAACGUUCGCCUCCUGGGUUCAAGCAAUUCUCCUGCCUCAGCCUCCUGAGUAGCUGGGAUUACAGGCAUGUGCCACCACCACGCCGGGCUAAUUUUUGUAUUUUUAGUAGAGACGGGGUUUCAUUAUGUUGGUCAGGCUGGUCUCGAACUCCUGACCUUGAGAUCCGCCCGCCUCGGCCUCCCAAAGUGCUGAGAUUAGACUAUUUGUAUCUAGGUUCAUCAGUUCAGUGAACUAAUCAAUACUUUGUUUUGUUUUGUUUUGUUGUUGCUUAAGAUGAUUUGUCACCUGCUGAUUAAUGAUCACACAAGUUGUUUUUUUUUGAGAGAGUCUUGCUCUGUCACCCAGGCUGGAGUGCAGUGGCAUGAUCUUGGCUCCCUGCAACCUCCGCCUCCCGGGUUUAAGUGCUUCUUUUGCCUCAGUCUCAGUAGCUGGCAUUACAGGCGUGCACCAUUACACCCAGCUAAUUUUUUGUAUUUUUAGUAGAGACAGUGUUUCGCCAUGUUGGCCAGGCUGGUCUCGAAUUCCUGGCCUCAAGUGAUCCACCCUCCUCCACCUUCCAAAGUGCUGGGAUUACAGAACUGAGCCACCGUGCCCGGCCCUGAAAACCUUGAUAAAGGGGCUCAUUUUCUGGGAAAUAAAAUUACAAGGAUAACAAAGAUAUUAAAAACAUCAUCCAAGAAAUAUGUCCAAAAAAGGUUCUGGUGGCCGGCAUCGUUGCUCACGCCUAUAAUCUCAACACUUUAGGAGGCCGAGGCAGGAGGAUGGCUUGAGCCCAGGAGUUCAAGACCAGCCUGGACAACAUAGGGAGACCCUGUCUCUACAAAAAAAUUUAAAAAUUGGGCUGGGCAUGGUGGCUUACACCUGUAAUCCCAGCACUUUGGGAGACCAAGGCAGGUGGAUCACCUGAAGUCAGGAGUUUGAGACCAGCCUGGCCAACAUUAGUGAAACCCCAUCUUUACCAAAAAAUACAAAAAUUAGCCAGUUGUGGUGGUGAAUGCCUGUAGUCCCAGCUACUCGGGAAGCUGAGGCAAGAGAAUCACUUGAACCCAGGAGGUGGAAGUUGCAGUGAGCUGAGAUUGCGCUGUUGCACUCCAGCCUGGGCGACAGAGUGAGACCCUGUCUCAAAAAAAAAAAAAAAAAAAAAUUAAAAAAUUAGCUAGGCACAGUGGUGCACACCUGUGAUCUCAGCUACUCAGGAGGCUGAGGUUGGAUGAUGGCUUGGGCCUGGGAGGUUCAGGCUGCAAGUGGGCCGUGAUCGUGCUACUGCACUCUAGUCUGGGCAGCAGAGCAAGACCUUGUCUCAAAAAUAAAUAAAUGAAAUUUUAAAAAGGCUCUGGCCUCAGACAGUUUAAUGGAAGAAAUCUCUCAAACUCACUGAAUAGAUAAUUUUCACCCUACUAAUCUGCAUCAGAACCCAGAAAAGAUAGAAUGCUGUCUAUUUCAUUUUAUGAAGCCACAAUUCCCCUUAUACCAAUUCCUAAUAAUAGCACAGGAAGAAAGGAAAACUGAAAACCAUACUCAUCAGUCAUCAGUUCCAGGGGUGGAAAAUCCUACAUACAAUUCAAGAAAAUAAAACUGUAGAUUAUUCUGUAUGAAAUUAAUAAGCCAUGAGUUUGUCAACUGAGAAAAAAAAACAAUUAUCAUAAUAGAUGCCAAAAAAAUCAGUCAAAAAUGAAUACCCAAAAAGAACCCUCCUAAUUAACCAGGAACAGUUGAAAUUAAGAAUUAUGUAUUACCGGCCAGGCACGGUGGCUCAUGCCUUAAUCCCAGCACUUUGGGAGGCUGAGGUGGGUAGAUCACCUGAAGUCAGGAGUUUGAGACCAGCCUGGCCAAUAUGGUGAAGCCUCAUCUCUACUAAAAAUACAAAAAUUAGCUGGGUGGGGUGGCAAGUGCCUGUAAUCCCAGCGACUCAGGAGGCUGAAGCGGGAGGAUCACCUGAACUUGGGAGGUCGUGACUGCAGUGAACAGUCAUCAUGCCACUGCACAAUGCAGCCUGGGCUACAGAGUGAGUUGCCAUCUCAAAAAAAAAAAAAAAAAAAAAAAAGCCACGUGAGAUGUGAGUUCCUGUUUCCCUACAGCCUCACCAGCAUAGGAUAUCAUUAGUCUUUUAAAUAUUUGUUUUAAUCACGUCUUCUUUGCCCCAUAGCUGACGGAGGGGUUCCCACUCUCAUGUGAUGGCAGUGGCCAAACACAACACCUGACACUGGGCAGCUCUCAACUUUGGCUGCACACUGGAAUCUCCUACUCAUGCUCCCUGACUAUGCCCUCACAGAUUCUGAUUUGACUGGUCCUGGGUGCAACGGGGCUGGCAUGAGACGACUAAAAACUCCCCAGGUGAAUCCAAUGAGCAACCAGGCUAAGGACCAGUGAUCUAACUGUAAGUCAUUCUCUUCUUUUCCCUUUGUAAUUUUAUGUUUCCACCUCAUACUGUGGUUGGCUACAUCUGUUUCUUCCCUCUCCUACUAGAAUGUAGGCUCCAGAUGGCCUUCCAAACAAUACAUGUGGCCCUUCACGCUCCAGGUGAUGACAAGUACCCGUUGCUGAUGGAAGUAGCAGAGUCAUACCUUUCUUGGAAUUUAGGUUCUACAGUCAAUGCUUAUGGCACCCAAUGAGUCAAAAACACCCUUGGCAACUCCUAAGGAAGGCUCUGCCCUGGAACCUGAUGUACUGUUUCCCCAUCACCAUCCAGGGAGAGUUUCCUCCUGGGCCGGAACAGAAAGCUGCCUCCUCCAUCAGGCACCAGAGGAAGUAGGGGGCUUCUGUUUAGGGACCACUUUGCAUAAAUACACAUUUAAACAUGUGCCUCACCCUCAGCACAGCAGGAUGCUCACGCCAUGAACAGCCAACAGGAACCAGAGUGACCGACCCUCCAGGAGGUACACACCUCCCUCCCAUCCCACCCACUUCUGAGCAUAUGGUUCUCACAUCCACCAGUGGGUGGAAUCACCCACACCAUUUAAACUUUUUGUCAAGGAUGUAGAGCUGAAUUCAUGUGAUUUCCCACAUGAGCAAUGUCCCUCCCUCCACUGCACAAUUAUAGCCAGCUCAAGCAGGUCCUCUCCUUCCUUCUACCUGCCCUGCAAAUGGCUCUCUCCUUCACUGACCCCCCGCCCUCCUUCUUAAAGGCUGAUGCUCCCUAGGACUCUAUCCUUGAUGCUUCUCAUUAAUUCUUCUCCCCGCUGGCUCUCAGCCCUACUUAGGGCUCCUGAUCAGUUAAAAAAGACCCAUGAGACCUCCCCUCCCCAGUUAACAGAGAUGUGGCCCAAGAGGCUCCCCACUUCUAAUUUGAGUGGGGGCAAAAGAAGAGAAAGAUCUUAUCUAGGUCUUGGGGGCAGGGCUUGCAGGGCACAAAGAAACAGAGUAAAUGUGCAACAGGCUAUUUUCUUGAAUGAAUGGAUUCAUAAUAAGAACAGGACUUCACCAGCUUCCAAGGGACCCUCCCCACCUCUCGGAUAUAUUCUGAAGCCUAAAUUUCACCUGCUUAUCUAGGAUCCUAGGCCAGGCCUUCUGCCACACCAAGCCACACCAAGCUCAGCAGUACUCACAGGCCUUUAAUCUAUAACUGCCUG
rnacentral:lncRNA from 1 species